GCGCUCCAGGGUCUGGAAGGUGCUGGAAUACACCUCCACGGCUUUGGCGUGGAACACCAUCUCGAUGGUCACAAAGUCCGAAAAAAUUUUCUAGGGGGAGAGAAGCCUGGGUCACAUAUGCGACACGGUCAGAGGGACUGUCCUGGGGUCACCUUGGACGCGGACAGGAUGGGGGCAGGAGCUUAGCGGUCCUUGCGGCGAGGCCGAGCGUGGGAUUCUGAGAUGGUGUCUCAUGUUCAUUUUUGUUGGGACACAUAAUGCCUUCCCCUGGUUCAAAAGCCGCCCGGCACAAGGAUGGUUCCAGAAACGUGUAAGGCCUUGUGGACUUUCUCAGCUCGGUCAGCCUGGGCUCAGCCAUUCAGCCUUUGCGUCUCUCGUUCUGAGGACAGGUAUUUGCAGGUGGGUGGCUACGAAGCUUUAGCCUCUGACACCCACGGGCUAGAAGUGGGUCUUGUGGGAGAAGGAGAGGGGGCUGCUGGUAGACCCUACUUGGCCCGGAGGCCCCUCAACCUGAUGAACCAGUGUGUCAAAACAUUAUUAGUGAUAAAGAGCUUGGCUCAUCUUGGUCAGAUGGUUCGGCUUGGCUCAAUAAGCUCUCACAGAGCUUCUACUACGUGUCUGGCUCCAGUGGGGGCGCCUACUGUGUGCAAGGCCUAGCACAAGCUCCUACUAUGUGUCAGACCUGAGUGGAGACUCCUACAGUGUGUCAAGUCCAGCAUUGGCUCCUAUUGUGGGUCAGACCCCAGAGGGACUUGCACUGUGUGCUGGGCCUGGCGCAAGCUCCUACUGUGUGCUGGGCCUAGCACAAGCUGCCACGGUGUGGGAGACCCGACAGGACAGAGGCUUGGAGUUGGGGGAGGAGCUUGCAGUUUGGAAACACACCUCUUCACAUCAUAUGGGAAGCACCUGGAGAAGCAGCUAAGCCGGCCUGGCAGAAGAAAGGGGAGGGGAGGCCCCCGGCUGGGAUGGAAGCCUUACCUCCCGCCUGCCUGCUCCCUCCUGCCCCGGGAGCCAGUGCUGGUGGUCCCCGCUGGGAAUCUAGAGACCUCAUCCUGCUGUUUACUAGCUUGAUGGAAAUGCAGACCCGCUGGCCCAGGCGGGCCCGUCCCCUGCGUUUUAAGAAGCCCCCGGGAGAUUUCCGAUGCCCACUCAGGUGAGAGCACAUCCUGACCCUUUGCUCCAGAUCAUGUGCGUGUUCAAAGAGCAAGGACCUUCUCCCUCAAGACCUCCUGUGACCAUCACACCCAGGAGACGACCGUGACGGCGGGGCUGGCAUCCAGUCUUCCCUCGUUGUCACCAGUCCCCAGCUGUGCCAGCAAAGUCACCAAUGGCUGGCCUUUCCGCUGACUCAGGGCUCCGUGCAAUUCCUGCUGAGUCUGUUUCCCACCUUGAGGUGGGAGCUGCGCCCAAGCCCGUCUCCUUCAGGAGACCGCCUUUCUUUCCAUCGGACACCUUUUAUUUUGAAAUAAUUUCCAUUGUACGGAAAGAAUGCAAGAACCUCCUCACCCAAAGUCUCCAGUUGUUAAACGUUUUACC